UCACAUAGUGAUCCUUCUUCAAGCUUCUAAUCAACACUCCCAGCAAGUGAAACGGGAGAGGACCCGAUCGCUUCGGUUCUCUAUAGUAUUUUCCUAAAACCGGUUUCGCUGCCUCCGUCUCUUCUAUUAGAUUGUAAUGUGGGAUCUGGGGAAAGAGGUGAUGAAUGACGUGAGUCCCAAUAUCAUGAUGAACGUUGUUGAGCCAACCGUAGUCGCGAUCAAGGGUAGUUAACCCGCCUCUCAUAUAAUUCCAUUCCUGUAAGAAUUCAAUUUCAUACAAAAUUAAUAAUUAAGCUGUUCAUUAUAGGUACAUAAAUUUACUAUCCAUUUUCUUAUGAUCAAUACCUCCCCACGAUACCAAGGAAGCUUAUCAUCGUGACCAUGGUGAUGCAAGUAAGUUACUAGGUCUAGCCACAUAACAAAAAGCUGCAUGGAUUAAUAAUAAUAAUGAGCAACUGUAAUUGAUGAUCAAUAUUAAAAAUGCUAUCUAUCAGAAGCUAGCAGCUGCUAAAACUAACCCAAUAUGGAAUGCCAUAUAGUUUAACCAAUUGAAUUGGUCCCAUUACAAAAGAUAAGCAGACAAGAAGACCAGCCAUGGCUGACCAGCAGACUGUAGAAGUAAUCACGUCUUUUCGCUCACUUCGGACAAACAAAUCACUGUUUGGGUCGAAAUGGGAGCCCGACUUUCCUGGACUUCUACUCCACUGUGUUUGACAACAACAACAACAAUAAUAAUAUAAGCCUAAAUCAUUUGAAAUGAUUCUUUAGACAAUGAAUUUGGUUUCAACAGCAUGCAUGCAUGCAUAUGCAUGAUUGUAUUAAUUGUUGUACCAGAUAGAAAGGAUAUGCAAGCAUGGGGAAUGGCAAAGUGAAUCUCAACAACUUUGUAGCUUUGUCCAAACUCUUGUAAAUCUUCUCAGGCAACUGAAAUUUCAAAAAUCACAACCUUGUUUGUGGGUAUAUAAUACUCAAGAUUCAAAAAGAAGAAAAAAAAUUAGUUUUUCUACUAGGGUAAUUGAAGAAGCUUGAAUUGACUUGACUCACUGGAUGCCAUGAUUCAUCGUUUUCAACAUGACCAUGAUUCUGAUGGUGAGUUCUGUGGCUGAUUCUCCUGAAUUUGUAGUCAAAUUUCUCACUCAGACAUUAUGUCAAACACGUUAUAUGCAGAGAAAUGGGGGUGAUUUAAAAGAGACAAACCAUCCAUGGUAAGGGACCAGAAUUGAAGAGUGAAGAAGAUGCCCAGCCACACUGUUCAGUUUAGGAUUGUUCGAAAAGCUUCCAUGACCACUACAAUCACGAAAUACAAAUCAAAGAGAGAAACAGAGGAGGAAGAAGAAGAUUAAACUGAAAAAAUUUCAGUAGGAAAAAAGGGUUUCCUCACCAAUCAUGGCCGAGAACAAACAAAGCCCAGAACAUGGUCCCUUGCGCAAGCCAGUAGAGAGGCCAAACCACCCAAUUGUUGAAAUAAGCCGCUGCAGCCGCCAGACCAAACACAAUAGCCACAUCUCUGACAACGUAGCUCAUAGAUUUCCAUGGAUCCUUCACCCAACAAUGUUUGGGAAUUGCCGCUCGAAUGUCGGCCAGCUUGAACGGAGGCGGCGCACCAGGAUCGAACUCCUCCUGGUACUGGACGUCAUUGAUCCUCUCUUCACCCCCCUCAUCUACAGAUUGAACUUUCAAUGGAACGCUCACCUUCAGUCCCCAAUUCCUAUCUCUAAACCCAAUCAACGACCGGUAAGGAUGAGACCCUAUUACCGAUUUGAUCUGCAACUUAGAAGGAGUAGUAUUAUUGGGUCUGAAAGAGUUGUAUCCCCUUCCGGAUUGAGGAUAUACCAGUGGGAGGGGUCUUAAGCCGCAUUCAGAUAAGACCCAUGUCGCCAUAGGAGACC